rnacentral:lncRNA from 1 species
UCACCUCUGCUGAACUGAGUCGCUUGUCGGAACAACAGCACCACCACAGCCGACGCGGCUCCGCCGCAAACGGCGGAUCGUCGCCGGAAAACGGCACCGCGCCGUUUCUGCUCCGUCUCACCUGGUUCCACCGCCACGCCGCCGCACGGCGGCGGCUCUCCUCCGUCACUCCCUCUCUUUCUCAAUAUCUCUCUCUGCUGCUCGAACCACCAACCAGCACCACCCGGUUCUCUGUGGUUGUCGCCGAAGUUUGCUGUUCGUCCGAAAAGAUCAACAUGAGGGGGAGAGGGUGUUGUCGGCUGGUAACACCGCCGACAGCCGGCGCUUAACAAGCUCUGGUCGUCGACCAGUAGCAUCACGAGAGAGAGCAAGUGGGCAGUUGGUUUUGUGAGUGAAAUGUGUUUUGUGUGUAUUUAAUUGUGCUUGUAGAUGAAAGGGUUUGUUUGUGAGGAGGAUAAUUGUGUUGUUUUGUGUGUGUGUGUACAUAUAAUCGAGUGAGAGAGAGAGAGAGGCAGAUUGUAAGUUUAUGUUUGUUUGUGUAUUAAUAGAGUGAGGGUAAGAUGGAAGUUUUUAUUGUCUUUUAUGCAUACAAAUUACAUUUAGGUCAAAUGUUUUAUCUUUUGAGAUUUGUAGAGAUUGCAGAGAUCUUAUAAGAUGUGAUCUUAUACGAUGUUAUUUGAUUAG